rnacentral:rRNA from 1 species
UGCUAAUACAUGCAAGUCGAACGCUUUGUGGUUCAACUGAUUUGAAGAGCUUGCUCAGAUAUGACGAUGGACAUUGCAAAGAGUGGCGAACGGGUGAGUAACACGUGGGAAACCUACCUCUUAGCAGGGGAUAACAUUUGGAAACAGAUGCUAAUACCGUAUAACAAUGACAACCGCAUGGUUGUUAUUUAAAAGAUGGUUCUGCUAUCACUAAGAGAUGGUCCCGCGGUGCAUUAGCUAGUUGGUAAGGUAAUGGCUUACCAAGGCGAUGAUGCAUAGCCGAGUUGAGAGACUGAUCGGCCACAAUGGGACUGAGACACGGCCCAUACUCCUACGGGAGGCAGCAGUAGGGAAUCUUCCACAAUGGGCGAAAGCCUGAUGGAGCAACGCCGCGUGUGUGAUGAAGGGUUUCGGCUCGUAAAACACUGUUGUAAGAGAAGAAUGACAUUGAGAGUAACUGUUCAAUGUGUGACGGUAUCUUACCAGAAAGGAACGGCUAAAUACGUGCCAGCAGCCGCGGUAAUACGUAUGUUCCAAGCGUUAUCCGGAUUUAUUGGGCGUAAAGCGAGCGCAGACGGUUAUUUAAGUCUGAAGUGAAAGCCCUCAGCUCAACUGAGGAAUUGCUUUGGAAACUGGAUGACUUGAGUGCAGUAGAGGAAAGUGGAACUCCAUGUGUAGCGGUGAAAUGCGUAGAUAUAUGGAAGAACACCAGUGGCGAAGGCGGCUUUCUGGACUGUAACUGACGUUGAGGCUCGAAAGUGUGGGUAGCAAACAGGAUUAGAUACCCUGGUAGUCCACACCGUAAACGAUGAGUGCUAGGUGUUUGAGGGUUUCCGCCCUUAAGUGCCGCAGCUAACGCAUUAAGCACUCCGCCUGGGGAGUACGACCGCAAGGUUGAAACUCAAAGGAAUUGACGGGGACCCGCACAAGCGGUGGAGCAUGUGGUUUAAUUCGAAGCAACGCGAAGAACCUUACCAGGUCUUGACAUCCCUUGACAACUCCAGAAUGGAGCGUUCCCUUCGGGGACAAGGUGACAGGUGGUGCAUGGUUGUCGUCAGCUCGUGUCGUGAGAUGUUGGGUUAAGUCCCGCAACGAGCGCAACCCUUAUUACUAGUUGCCAGCAUUCAGUUGGGCACUCUAGUGAGACUGCCGGUGACAAACCGGAGGAAGGUGGGGAUGACGUCAAAUCAUCAUGCCCCUUAUGACCUGGGCUACACACGUGCUACAAUGGCGUAUACAACGAGUUGCCAACCCGCGAGGGUGAGCUAAUCUCUUAAAGUACGUCUCAGUUCGGAUUGUAGGCUGCAACUCGCCUACAUGAAGUCGGAAUCGCUAGUAAUCGCGGAUCAGCACGCCGCGGUGAAUACGUUCCCGGGUCUUGUACACACCGCCCGUCACACCAUGAGAGUUUGUAACACCCAAAGCCGGUGGGGUAACCUUCGGGAGCCAGCCGUCUAAGUGGG